rnacentral:rRNA from 1 species
CAGUCGAACGAAGCACCUUACCGGAUUCUUCGGAUGAAGGUCUGGUGACUCAUUGGCGGACGGGUGAGUAACGCGUGGGUAACCUGCCCUGUCCAGGGGGAUAACAGCUGGAAACGGCUGCUAAUACCGCAUAAGCGCACGAGGAGACAUCUCCUUGUGUGAAAAACUCCGGUGGUACAGGAUGGGCCCGCGUCUGAUUAGCUGGUUGGCAGGGUAACGGCCUACCAAGGCAACGAUCAGUAGCCGGUCUGAGAGGAUGAACGGCCACAUUGGAACUGAGACACGGUCCAAACUCCUACGGGAGGCAGCAGUGGGGAAUAUUGCACAAUGGGGGAAACCCUGAUGCAGCAACGCCGCGUGAGUGAAGAAGUAUUUCGGUAUGUAAAGCUCUAUCAGCAGGGAAGAUAAUGACGGUACCUGACUAAGAAGCUCCGGCUAAAUACGUGCCAGCAGCCGCGGUAAUACGUAUGGAGCAAGCGUUAUCCGGAUUUACUGGGUGUAAAGGGUGCGUAGGUGGCAGUGCAAGUCAGAUGUGAAAGGCCGGGGCUCAACCCCGGAGCUGCAUUUGAAACUGCUCGGCUAGAGUACAGGAGAGGCAGGCGGAAUUCCUAGUGUAGCGGUGAAAUGCGUAGAUAUUAGGAGGAACACCAGUGGCGAAGGCGACUUUCUGGACGAAAACUGACGCUGAGGCGCGAAAGCG